CUACAUGAAGCUGGAAUCGCUAGUAAUCGCGGAUCAGAAUGCCGCGGUGAACACGUUCCCGGGUCUUGUACACACCGCCUGUCACACCAUGGGAGUCGGAAAUGCCCGAAGUCUGUGACCCAACCUUAGGGAGGGAGCAGCCGAAGGCAGGUCGGAUGACUGGGGUGAAGUCGUAACAAGGUACC
rnacentral:rRNA from 1 species